CCUACGGGAGGCAGCAGUAGGGAAUCUUCCGCAAUGGACGCAAGUCUGACGGAGCAACGCCGCGUGAGUGAAGAAGGUUUUCGGAUCGUAAAACUCGUGUUGUUAGAGAAGAACAAGUGCUAGAGUAACUGUUAGCGCCUUGACGGUAUC
rnacentral:rRNA from 1 species